AAACAGUGCUCACUUUGGCAGCUAAAAUUGGAAGGAUACAGAGAAGAUUAGCAUUGCCCCUGGGCAAGGAUGACGUGCAAAUUUGUGAAGCGUUUCAUAUUUAA
ensembl:snRNA U6 U6 spliceosomal RNA